rnacentral:rRNA from 1 species
UACGGAGGAGGCAAGCGUUAUCCGGAAUUAUUGGGCGUAAAGCGUCCGUAGGUGGCUCUCUCAAGUCUGCGGUCAAAGACCGGGGCUCAACCCUGGAAAGGCCGUGGAAACUGGUGAGCUAGAGUGCGGUAGGGGCAGAGGGAAUUCCCAGUGUAGCGGUGAAAUGCGUAGAUAUGACAUAGAACACCAAUUGCGAAGGCAGCUCACUACACGAAUAUUGACACUGAGGCACGAAAGCGUGGGGAUCAAACAGG